CAACUCCCUCUAGAAACCACGACUUCAUUUACUUGCACUAAGUUACACGAAACAUAACCACGACACCUUAUCUUGAUUUGGAUAAUUAGUACUUAUCAAAUCUUCAUGAGAUAAUCUACUGAUUCCUUGCUACAUGAAAUACUGGCAACUCUUCUCUUAUAAAUUCUUCAGUAAUCGUGAUAACUUGUAAUCCAUAUAUUGAUAUCCUUAUCAACUUCACUUGACCUGAUACCAUAACCUACGAGCGUC
rnacentral:lncRNA from 1 species